rnacentral:rRNA from 1 species
GAACGAGCAAGGAAGUUUUCCGAUGGAAUUGCUGAGUGGCGGACGGGUGAGUAACGCGUGGGUACCUGCCUCACACUGGGGGACAACAGUUAGAAAUGACUGCUAAUACCGCAUAAGACCGCAUGGUAAAAACUCCGGUGGUGUGAGAUGGACCCGCGUUUGAUUAGCUAGUUGGUGGGGUAACGGCCUACCAAGGCGACGAUCAAUAGCCGACCUGAGAGGGUGACCGGCCACAUUGGGACUGAGACACGGCCCAAACUCCUACGGGAGGCAGCAGUGGGGAAUAUUGCACAAUGGGGGAAACCCUGAUGCAGCGACGCCGCGUGAGCGAAGAAGUAUUUCGGUAUGUAAAGCUCUAUCAGCAGGGAAGAUAAUGACGGUACCUGACUAAGAAGCCCCGGCUAACUACGUGCCAGCAGCCGCGGUAAUACGUAGGGGGCAAGCGUUAUCCGGAUUUACUGGGUGUAAAGGGAGCGUAGACGGCAAGGCAAGUCUGAUGUGAAAACCCAGGGCUUAACCCUGGGACUGCAUUGGAAACUGUCUGGCUCGAGUGCCGGAGAGGUAAGCGGAAUUCCUAGUGUAGCGGUGAAAUGCGUAGAUAUUAGGAAG